UACAGAGGUCUCAAGCGUUGUUCGGAUUCAUUGGGCGUAAAGGGUGUGUAGGUGGCGCGCUAAGUCGGGUGUGAAAUUUCGGAGCUUAACUCCGAAACUGCAUUCGAUACUGGCGUGCUUGAGGACUGGAGAGGAGACUUGAAUUCAUGGUGUAGCAGUGAAAUGCGUAGAGAUCAUGAGGAAGACCAGUGGCGAAGGCGGGUCUCUGGACAGUUCCUGACACUGAGACACGAAGGCCAGGGGAGCAAACGGG
rnacentral:rRNA from 1 species